GGCCCCAGGCGCCGGCCGUGGGGGGCGGCGGGGGCCCCGCUGCCCCGCGAGGGAGCCGGGGGGCCGGGGCGAGGGAGGGCGUAGAAUAAACAGCAUCGUUGUCACGCAGGCAGAGCCGCCGGCUCCCCAAGCCUCCUCCCCGCGAUAACAACCCAGGUACACAGAUCGGUUUCUAUGAAAAUAGGAGAGCAGAGAGCGGCUCCAGUCCCUCCCGGCCCUUCCUUCCCAGCUGAAGCAUGACAUGGUUCUUUAUGCGCGCCCGACAUGGAGGCUGGGCGACCAGGAGAAGCCGGCUGAGCCCGGCUGUUUUUUACAGCAGGGCCCCCGGGUUCCCCCGGCCAGUGGCUCCCAGCCCUCAGUCCUUGGGGGUGCCGUGCCGCCCCCCACGCCCCCCGCCAUGGAGGCCCAGGCCCCAGCACAGAGCAGCUCCCCGGGAUGCCUCGGCCCCCCCGGGGGGCUGGUGCACACCCUGCCCGCCGGCCUCCCCCGCAGCGCGGCUGCUGCCCCCACGGGGUGCCUGCAGGCCUUACCCCCUCCCCCGGCAACCAAACACCCAGCCCCGAGCCGGCCCCUGGGCACAGGCCUGGCUCCUGGGGACUGGGAUUUCCUGAUUCCUGUACCCAGCCUCUUCCCUGCUGCCAACCCCUCCACCUUCCUUCUCGGCCUAAAAACGCAAAUAAAACCACACAGCCACAAA